rnacentral:rRNA from 1 species
AUUGAACGCUGGCGGCAUGCCUUACACAUGCAAGUCGAACGGUAACAGGUCUUCGGAUGCUGACGAGUGGCGAACGGGUGAGUAAUACAUCGGAACGUGCCUAGUAGUGGGGGAUAACUACUCGAAAGAGUGGCUAAUACCGCAUGAGAUCUACGGAUGAAAGCAGGGGAUCGCAAGACCUUGUGCUACUAGAGCGGCCGAUGGCAGAUUAGGGUAGUUGGUGGGAUAAAAGCUUACCAAGCCGACGAUCUGUAGCUGGUCUGAGAGGACGAUCAGCCACACUGGGACUGAGACACGGCCCAGACUCCUACGGGAGGCAGCAGUGGGGAAUUUUGGCCAAUGGGCGCAAGCCUAAUCCAGAAAUGCCGCGUGCAGGAUGAAGGCCUUCGGGUUGUAAACUGCUUUUGUACGGAACGAAAAGCCCUGGGUUAAUACCCUGGGGUCAUGACGGUACCGUAAGAAUAAGCACCGGCUAUCUACGUGCCAGCCGCCGCCGUAACAC